AGCGAACGCUGGCGGCGUGCCUCAGACAUGCAAGUCGAACGAUUAAAGCUCUCUUCGGAGAGUGCAUAGAGUGGCGCACGGGUGAGUAACACGUAAGUAAUCUACCCUCGAGUGGGAAGUAACGUCCGGAAACGGACGCUAAUACCGCAUAAUGCAGCGGCACCGCAAGGUGACAGUUGUUAAAGAUUUAUCGCUUGAGGAGGAGCUUGCGGCAGAUUAGCUAGUUGGUAAGGUAAUGGCUUACCAAGGCUACGAUCUGUAACCGGUCUUAGAGGACGGUCGGUCACACUGACACUGAAUAACGGGUCAGACUCCUACGGGAGGCAGCAGUCGGGAAUUUUGGGUCGAAUGGGCGAAAGCCUGACCCAGCAACGCCGCGUGAAGGAUGAAGUAUUUCGGUAUGUAAACUUCGAAAGAAUAGGAAGAAUAAAUGACGGUACUAUUUAUAAGGUCCGGCUAACUACGUG
rnacentral:rRNA from 1 species